UUCCAAAUGACAGUACAGUUGCAGCUUCCAGAGGAUGUGAGUUGUGCAGGGGCACAAUUCCAGUCAAUAAACAGCCUGAUCAGCAUCUGGAACUGAAAACCGCCCCUUCCUUUCACAGUGCAAGCUGACUCCUGGGCAGGACCGACCUGUGGAUGCCGAUGCGUCUCCCGGUGCCCUCCCGCCCCCUCCCUCACGGCUCAUCUCCUUAUGGGGUCAUGUGACACCCACCCCAGUGUGUGGGGCGGGGGAACCACCCCAGGCAGGUGCCUCCCAAGCUGCCUGUGUGUGCUCUCCCGAUCCCGGGAGGAGGCAGCCCCACCUCCUUGCCAGCUUCCAGCAAACAGACCCAGACGCCAUUACUUUGGCCAUGGAAGAACUAAGAGAGGUGCCCUGGAGACUCCUGAGCUUCAGGUAUGUUCCUCCCUGUCCUCAUUGUGUGUUAGCAGCCUAGUUUCCCCUUGCUGAUCGGAAUCAAUCGCGCCAGCCAGUAGAGUCAUUUCUUUUCUUUUUGUGUUGAUUCAGGACGUAAGGAGUCCUAAACAGCCAGGCGAUGGUCUCUUCUUCCAAUUCAGUGAAACCAUCGCUGUGUCUGCUAGUGACAGCAUUCCACCGGACUUCUGAACAGUACAAACUGGGAAGCUGCAUGGAGUGUGACAGGAGCAACUUGGGGGAUUCCUAUAGAUGUAAUCCCUACUGUGUGCUAAGUACUGAAGAUGGCUGCUCCGUGUCACCCUCCCUGCAGCCUGGCAAGGGUCGGAGGCCACCUCCAGCCCCACUGCAGAGGACAAAACUUUUCAAGCAGCUUUUCAAGGUUCCAGAAAGAAAGAAGAGGGGGCAGAAAGGGAAGGCGUUGUUUUCAUGCCGCUUCCUUCAUUUGCAUAAGGGCUGAUUAUUGUGCUGGGACUGAGCUGGGCCGGCAGCGGCGCCUGGGAUCUCUGGCUUAACUGCAGCCGGAGGAGACGGGAGCAAUGAGCCGUGAGCUGCUGGUGACUCCAACGCAGGGAACGCUCCUGCAGACGUCCUUCCCUCCUCAUUUUUAAGAAAUGCGUGUACAAUGCCUCCCCGAUGGAAAAAUAAUGACCCCAGUGGCCGGGGACUUUGGCGGGGGCAGCAGUGUCUGCCGUCAGCCUAGCACCUCUGGAGUCCUCCACGCUGUCCCCUUUAGCCUCCACCUUCUGACCGCCUCCCCCAGCAGGCUUCCGACAGUCCCUCGGGCUCCAGGUGGCAGGGAUGGGUUGGAGAGGUGGCACUGUGAGGUGGGGGAGGCCCGUGCUGGUGGUUUUGGACAGAGGCUGCUGUUAGGGUUACA
rnacentral:lncRNA from 13 species